AGAAAAGAUAGUAACUGAAAAGGAAAAGAGCUUCAAUAAUUUUAAUACACAGAUCAUUAACCAAAAAAAACACUUUAAUCAAUAAUGUCAGGAUCUCUCUGCAACCAGAGGAAUUUCUAACAAAUGCUAGGAGCCUCUCAUAAUCAACUUCAGAUUAUUAAGCAAUAAAGAAUAGCUGUGAACUGUUGUUUGUAAUGUGUUUUAUUUAAUUACUUGUUUGUUCUGAGGUAACUUCUCAUUGAAAAUGUGGUAAGGUGCUCCCUCUUUUCCACUAGUGAGAUCUGAAAGCAAAGCUUUGAAAACAGACAAACCUAGAAAACAUCUGCACCUGACAUAUGCCAGGUCCCCACACGGGCUUUGGUACAUUAUCUCAUUUAAUCUUCACAACAUGAUGACAGAGAAAUAGUGGAACAUCCUUAACACAACAAAUCCCAUAGGCUCAAAGCAGUUAAAUUUCCAUGAGAGACAGCUGACUUAAUACCCUGAGCUGUACUUUCCCAUUCAAGUUCCCUGGCUUUAAUUACCAUCCCAGUAAUACCCAAGGUGACAGUUUCUCUCUUAAUACUCUGACACCUCCCUUCCAGGACCAAUGUACUUUCCCUUGGUUCCUCUGACCAUAGCUGGAACAAGAUAAAACUUUCAAAAGACAUUACUAAUAAUAAACUAAGUCGGGUGCAGUGGCUCAUGCCUAUAAUCCCAGUACUUUGGGAGGCUGAGGCGGGUGGAUCACUUGAGCCCAGGCCUGGAGGCUAAGGCAGACAGAUCACUUGAGCCCAGGCCUGACAACAUGGUGAAACCCUGUCUUUACAAAAAAUAGAUAUAUAUAAAUUAGCUGGGUGUGUUGGUGCAUGCCUGUAGUUCCAGCUACUCAGGAGGCUGAAAUAGGAGGAUCGCUUGAGCCUGGGAGGUAGAGUUUGCAGUGAGCUGAGAUUGCAGUGAGCCGAGGUGGUCCCACGGCACUCCAGCCUGGGUGACAGACUAAGACCCUGUCUCAAAACUAAAAUAAAAAUAAAUAAAUAAACUAAAGAGUUAACAAACGGAAAAUAAGCACACAGCAUUUAAGACAAGCAGCAUAGAGAAAAGGUAAGAACACAAGUUUUAGAACCAGACAACCUGUGUUUAAAGUAUGUCAUUUACUAGCUGUGUGACUAAUUAACCUCUAUAUGCCUUAAUGUCUUCAUCUAUAAAGUGAUAAUAAAAGCAUCCAUCCCACAAUCUCAUAAAAUAGCAUCCAGCAAUACUGUUUAUGUAUAUAUACCUAUACACACAGACAUUAUAUUAUAUUACAUAUAUAUAUAUUCAUAUAUAUUCAUCUUGGCUUAUAAAGUACAAGUUUUAGAUUGCAGCAUAACUAGUUUACUCCCAGGUUCUCUGCUAUUCCACACAAUAUCUGGAGAAGUUCAAUCUAGUCCAGUAAAAGGCUACCUAGCUUCACAGCUAAGGACAAUUCAUUUCAUUUUUACAGAUGAUAAAAAUGAGCCUCAUCUGCAAUUCCAGCUACCUAAACCCACCUCUCUUCAAAGACGUGAGCUCAAAUACCACUCUUUUCAAAAAGAUCAAAAUAUAGAAAUUGAAUAAUUUUGCAUAAGUAUCCUAGGUGAUAUAAAACUCAGAAUGUAAUUUUUAAUUGCAUAUAUUUCUUAUGAAAUAAAAUGGAAGGGAUUGAAAAAAAUUCUUGUAUAAUCAAAAAGUUAAAGUUAAAAGUAUUUCCAAGGUGUCGUCAAAUCCAGAACGAAUCUAAUUCAAUGAAAAUUGCUAGAAAUUGGUUUUCUGGCAUUAUAAAUGUGUGAAUAAAUUGCAAUAUCCAAAUCUCCUGCCCAAACCGGUGAAAGCAGAAGAAGAAAAAUAGCCAGGUGCAGCACUUUUGGAGACCAACAUGGGUGGAUUGCUUGAGCCCAAGGGUUCAAGACCAGACUGGGCAACUGGAGAAAUCUUGUCUCUACAAAAAACAUGAAAAUUAACCAGGCAUGGUGGCAUGUACCUGUAGUCCCAACUACUCAGGAGGCUGAGGUGGGAGGAUUGCUUGAGCCCAGGAGGUUGAGGCUUCAGUAAGCUGUGCUCGCACCACUGCAGACAGUGCUCUGGAUGACAGAGCAAGACCCUGUCUCAAAAAAAAAGAAAGAGGAAGGAAGGAAGGAAGGAGAAAAAAUGUGGUAAUAUCCUUUCAUGGUUACAUAUGUUUGUAAUUGAACUGAUAUCUCCCACACACAAAAAAUAUAUAUAUUAAUGAGUUUCACAAAGGAAGCCCAUGUUUCAUCCUAUAUUAGGUGGACCAUGACAGAUUUUAUAAAAACUAAAUAUGUAUCUGCACAUUUAAAAAUAUGAAUUUUCCUUGAUAAUGCCUUACUCUUGUACUAUAUUUAUGAUUUGCAACACAUUUUUGCCUCCAUAAUUUCCUUUGAGUUUCAUGGCAUAGAAAAUGGUGUAACUAUAUUUGUACUUUUUUUUUUUUUUUUUGAGAUAGGGUCUUACUUUGUCACCCAGGCUGGAGUGCAAUGGCAUGAUCUCAGCUCACUGCAGCCUCGACCUCCUGGGAUUAAGCUAUCCUACUGCCUCAGCCCCCUAAGUAGCUGGGACUACAGGCAUGCACCAUCAUGCCCAGCCAGUGUUUUGAGUUUUUGGUAGAGAUGGAGUUUCGCCAUGUUGCCCAAACUGGUCUUGAACUCCUGAGCUCAAGCAAUCCACCUCUCAAAGGGCUGGGAUCACUGCACCUGGCUGUACUCAUUUUAAAAGAGCAGAUUGUACACGCUUAGAAAAUGUAAGUAGCCCACCCAAGGAUACUGAGCUUAGCAGAACCCAGGUGUCCUGACUCCUGAUCUGGUUCUCUUCCCAUUAAUACCACAAAGAUAUGUCUUCUGGAUGGAAGAAAUAAACAUGUUUCACAAUGAUAAAUCUCCCCUUGAAAGGACAGAGUGUUUGUGUCUUCUUUUAAUAUUUUGAAAACUUUCAAGGGAAUAAGGAUAUAUGGAUCCUCAUCUCUCAGUAAGUUAAACUGUAAGCCAGUCCCCCUCACUAUCCACUUAAUCUACUGAAUCCUUCUUGAAAAGUCAACAGACCAUCCCCGUGAGCACCACAAAUUUGCUUGGGGUGAAGUGAGGAUUCAUGUAUGAGACCAAAAGUCCAGAGAUGUAUUUAGCAACAUUUCCAGUGUAAGAGAUUUUUUUAAAUCACAUAUACAAACUAAGGCAUUUUCCUCCCACUUGCACAAAACAGGAUCUGCCCCGACGAAAUGGAAUCUUUGAAUAUCUCAAACUAAAAUUUUUAAAGUGAGUGAAGUUUCACUAUUCCCUCAGCUGAAGAUGUUCAAAGAUCUGGUUCAUGUGUAAUACGGAAUAUUUGCAUAGUAUUUUACAGUUUUCACAGCCUUUCUACUUACAUUGUGUGGUCAGAUUUUCCAGCUCCCUAGUGAGACGGAAUUAUUAUCAUCCCUGUGUCACAGAUGAAAAAACGGAGGCACAGGGGGAGUAUCUUGCCCAAGAUCGCAAUGAAAGCAGCACGUCCACCUCUGACUUCAAAUCGUGUGUGCUCUUUUCACUUAUCCUAUGUUAUCUACCCUAAAGGCAAGUCUUCCCCCAACUGCACACCUCAAGUCCUUUCACAUGUGUAACUAGGUCUGGACAAGCAGGAAUUUCUGGCCCUUUUCCCAAUUCCCGUGGGAGGAGAUGGGAAAGGUGCUUCUUUUAUCCUUGCCUUUCCAAGACAACAAGAAAGGCUUCUCCCCAUGGUGCCGGCCCCGGUACUAAGCUGGGGAAAGGGAUCCUUAGGGUGUAAACUGUCUUGCCACCUACUGUUUAAACCUCUGUGAAAGAUAAGCCUUCUGAAAUAGCCUCCUAUUCAACCCAGAAAUCAAUCCUAACUUGUAAAAGAAGUUAUGGACACGAGGACGAGAAACGGGAAAUCCUGCGGGAGAUAGCGCUUUCUCUUUUCCCCCAGAAAGUCUCCAGGCAGCAGCUCUGUGAGAUCCUUAAGCAAGGUAAGGAAACUCACCCGCUGCGCUGCGGCUUCGUGGCCAGCAGGGCUGGGACAUACUCGCCUCACGCUUCAGCACCGGGGACAGCUCCUGCCUCGCCAACUUCGGCAGCUCUUCUCGAUGUCUCGCCGCGGGCUGUGCCUCACAGGCUACGGGAGGGGAGAGUGUCUCCCCACGCCGGGGUCCCGGCCUCUGGGUUUUAGGGAGCGCGAAUGGGUCUCCGACAGCAACGGGAGCAGCCGGUGGCGCCUCAGGCUGCGGUGGCAACGAGCCCGACUGCACUACGGCUUUGCGGGACCGCGCCAGCGCGGAGGAGACCGAGCCCAUCUCAGCGGGCCGGGCCGGACCCAGGUGAGCGGCCCUGGCUCCCCGAGGAAUCCACGGCCCUCGCCUGCCGAAGGCUUACUCCCUCCUGGUGCCGGGGCGCCCCCAGCUGUCUGCUCCGCCUCUGACCCUGCGGGCUGCAGCGAAGGCUGCGCGCCCACCCGCGGGGGACCGGAACGGAGGGUAAUGCGGGCGGUGUCCGCGCCCGCCUAACAGUCUGGGGUGGAUGGGACUUGGGGAGUCGCUAUAUAGAGGCUGUCCGGAGGCUUUACUGGAAAUUGAGGGGAGGAAGGGGCGUGGCAUUAGGCGAGGGAUACUUUUUUCUCCACUUUCUGCACUUGGUUCACCUGAGGCCAAAAGCUUGGAGGGUCCUUCCUGUUCCUCUUCGCACGUCUGGGCCACCUCUGUCCCCCAGGAAGAUGGCAGGUUUAGCGAGGGCGGAGAAGGGACCGAGAUUUGUUUUCUUCUCAAUUUCUCCUCUUAAAGCCAAUAUCACUGCUCUUCUAGGCUGUGCUUCCCCUGGAGCCCACCUUUCCUGUUGGCGGCUAAGACCAGAGAGGGAGGCGGAAGUGCACGGGGAGUCAGCUCCGCUAGUUCUCCGCGGGAGAGCAAGCUGGGAGGCGCCAGCCAGCCCUGGGGGCGCCCAAGACGGGAAGCCAGAGCAGCCUGGGGCCCUAUUAAUAGGCCUGCUUUGCUGGCUGGGGUGAGGUCACUGGUCCUUCUCUGCCUGCAGUGUGGUGGUGCCUACGUAGAGCAGAAGCAGGAAGGGAAGCCUGGGAUGAUGUUUCAGCUAAAAGAGGUUGCCCAGAAAGGUUUUAGGUCUUGCCCAAGGUCAUAGGCAGUUAGUGGUGGAGCUGGGUCUUGUGCCUGGGACUCCUCUUUCUAGAACCAGUCUCCUGUCCACACUGCUCCCCAUUCCAAAGGUUUGCAGGCAUUGAAUUUUGAAGCAAGACAAUUGUGCAAUACACAGCAUAUCUGAGGUUGGAAUGUGUGAGGGGAGAGUGACUAUGGUAUUUCUCAGCCAGCCUGGGAAGCUUUCCUCCUCCCCAUCCAGUGUCAGCGCUCUUUCUGUGACAGAAUGAUGUGAUUCUUGACACUGUCAUCUGUAAAAUGGCAUACCAACAAGUAAAUGUAAAGUAGUAUUAUCAUGGAAACGCUUUCUGAACCACUGAGCCAAUCAGAUCAACAAAC
rnacentral:lncRNA from 10 species